rnacentral:rRNA from 1 species
AUUGAACGCUGGCGGCAGGCCUAACACAUGCAAGUCGAGCGGAGCGGCGGACGGGUGAGUAAUGCCUAGGAAUCUGCCUGGUAGCGGGGGAUAACGACCGGAAACGAGCGCUAAUACCGCAUACUAUCACAAGAGCCUAGUGCGGAUUAGCUAGUUGGUGGGGUAACGGCCUACCAAGGCGACGAUCCGUAACUGGUCUGGGGGGAUGAUCAGUCACACUGGAACUGAGACACGGUCCAGACUCUUACGGUAGGCCGCAGUGGGGAAUAUUGGACCAUGGGCGAAAGCCUGAUCCAGCCAUGCCGCGUGUGUGAAGAAGGUCUUCGGAUUGUAAAGCACUUUAAGUUGGGAGGCGUUACCAGCAGAAUAAGCACCGGCUAACUUCGUGCCAGCAGCCGCGGUAAUUC